rnacentral:rRNA from 1 species
UACGUAGGCAGCGAGCGUUGUUCGGAGUUACUGGGCGUAAAGUGUGCGCAGGCGGCCGAGCAAGUCGAGUGUGAAAGCCCCGAGCUUAACUUGGGAAUUGCGCUCGAAACUACUUGGCUGGAGUGUGGCAGAGGAAGGUGGAAUUCCAGGUGUAGCGGUGAAAUGCGUAGAGAUCUGGAGGAACACCGAUGGCGAAGGCAGCCUUCUGGGCCAACACUGACGCUCAUGCACGAAAGCGUGGGGAGCAAACAGG